rnacentral:rRNA from 1 species
UGGGGAAUAUUGGACAAUGGGCGCAAGCCUGAUCCAGCAAUACCGCGUGUGUGAAGAAGGCCUUAGGGUUGUAAAGCACUUUCAAUUGGGAGGAAAACCUGCCGGUCAAUACCCGGUAGCUUGACAUUACCUUUAGAAGAAGCACCGGCUAACUCCGUGCCAGCAGCCGCGGUAAUACGGAGGGUGCGAGCGUUAAUCGGAAUUACUGGGCGUAAAGCGUGCGUAGGCGGUUCGUUAAGUCAGAUGUGAAAGCCCUGGGCUCAACCUGGGAACUGCAUUUGAAACUGGCGGACUAGAGUUUAGUAGAGGGGAGUGGAAUUUCAGGUGUAGCGGUGAAAUGCGUAGAUAUCUGAAGGAACACCAGUGGCGAAGGCGACUCCCUGGACUMGAACUGACGCUGAGGUACGAAAGCGUGGGUAGCAAACAGGAUUAGAUACCCUGGUAGUCCACGCCGUAAACGAUGUCAACUAGCCGUUGGUCCUAUUUACAGGAUUAGUGGCGCAGCUAACGCAUUAAGUUGACCGCCUGGGGAGUACGGCCGCAAGGUUA